AACGAACGCUGGCGGCGUACUUAACACAUGCAAGUCGGACGAGAAAGGAGACUUCGGUCUCUGAGUAAAGUGGCGUACGGGUGCGUAACACGUAAGUAAUCUACCCCGAACUCUGGGAUAACUCUCCGAAAGGAGGGCUAAGACUGGAUGGGUCCCUGAGGUGUAGGCUGCAGGGGGAAAACGGGCCCUGUUUCAUGCUCGUGGUUUGGGAUGAGCUUGCGGCCCAUUAGCUUGUUGGUAGGGUAAGGCCUACCAAGGCAACGAUGGGUAGCUGGUCUGAGAGGAUGAUCAGCCACACUGGCACUGAGACACGGGCCAGACUCCUACGGGAGGCAGCAGUGGGGAAUUUUGCGCAAUGGGCGAAAGCCUGACGCAGUAACGCCGCGUGGAGGAUGAAGG
rnacentral:rRNA from 1 species